AGAUCAACGAGCUGAGCAAGGUCCAGAAUAAAAUGAUGUGGGAGAGGAAGCAGAUGAAGGAUGAGAUUUCUGAUCUGACCAAGGACAUUCAGAAAUUGAUGGGUCAGAUAUGGAACUGUGACUCCAAGCUGCAUCAGGCCACCCAACGCCUGGACAUCCUCAACCAGAGACCUGGACGUGAGCACUGCCUGGACCAGCCCUACAUCAGCCUCACACUGGAGAAACAUGACCUGGCAAAGAUGGUGG